AAAAUGCUGGGUUAUUUGUUUAACCCAACAGCUGGGUUGAGCCUGUUGGGUCAUUUUGUUGGGUUAUUUUCUUAGUGUUGGGUCAUUUUUUGAGUAACCCAAACGCUGGGUUACCAGUCUGGUCCAAUUGAGUGACAGUUGAGAGAGUAAACCCCUCCCACUCCUCUACGCAUCAGACAAACUUUACCUUCGCGGGCAUUUUGAUCCACUUCAUCUCGGAAAGCUGUUAUUCGGAGAAUAAAAGGUUGCAGAAUAACAGCUAAUAUUAAUGGAUCAUUCUAUUCAAGAGAAUGUCAACUGGAACGUGGAUGUUUUCAUAACAGGCUUAAAGAUGAACAAAUUGAUAAAGAAACCCUCCUGCUGGACAUCCACUUCCAAAAGUGCACACCACACUGUUGUCUACAACUCCUAGGAAAAGAAUCCUCUUAAGUAAGACUGCUCCGUGGAUAUGUCAGGUUAAGCAGUGCUGAAACCGAAAGAACUAACACUAUUUAAAAUGUUUUGUGAGUUUAUAUGAAGAGGAAAGUUACGGUGUCCCUUUUUCACAUCCAUAACGCUUGUUUAUUUCUUUUUUUAUAGAAAACUUGUGCAUAGACUUAUAUUUUAACAUAUAAAUGCGGUUCUAUUAACAAGGGUUUAGUAAAAUACUUUUUAUAGCGUUUUGAAGUGUUAAGUUGUCUAACUAUUUAUAUUUACUUGUGCCACUUUAAUAACCUUGUUAAAUGUAUAUGUUAAAAUCUAAACUAAUGUAAUUUAUUGAAAUUAAUGUUCUUUAAAUAUGUAUAAACAUACAUUUCAUCAA